UUUUAAAAAAAAAAUUUUUUUGGAAAGAAUUUUUUUUUUCACCCCGGGGCUUCCUCCAACUGUCUUUCUCCUGAGGAAAAUUCCCGGGGCCCCCUCCGGGGUGUUCCUAUGCGACCCCCCCCCCCCGGGGCGCCCCCCCGGGCGGGGCGGGGGCACGGGGGGACUCCUACGGGAGGCAGCAGUAGGGAAUCUUCCACAAUGGACGAAAGUCUGAUGGAGCAACGCCGCGUGAGUGAAGAAGGGUUUCGGCUCGUAAAACUCUGUUGUUAAAGAAGAACAUAUCUGAGAGUAACUGUUCAGGUAUGACGGUACUAACCAGAGCACGAAUUCGC
rnacentral:rRNA from 1 species